rnacentral:rRNA from 1 species
UACGGAGGAUGCGAGCGUUAUCCGGAUUUAUUGGGUUUAAAGGGUGCGUAGGCGGAAUGCCAAGUCAGCGGUAAAAUCGCGGGGCUCAACCUCGCUCCGCCGUUGAAACUGGCGUUCUUGAGUGGGCGAGAAGUAUGCGGAAUGCGUGGUGUAGCGGUGAAAUGCAUAGAUAUCACGCAGAACUCCGAUCGCGAAGGCAGCCUACCGGCGCGCAACUGACGCUCAUGCACGAAACGCGUGGGUAUCGA